rnacentral:rRNA from 1 species
CGUCAGCUCGUGUCGUGAGAUGUUGGGUUAAGUCCCGCAACGAGCGCAACCCUUGCCUUUAGUUGCCAGCGAGUCAUGUCGGGCACUCUAAGGGGACCGCCUCGGAUAACGGGGAGGAAGGUGGGGAUGACGUCAAGUCAGCAUGGCCUUUAUGUCCAGGGCUACACACGUGCUACAAUGGGCGGUACAAAGGGACGCAAACCCGCAAGGGGGAGCCAAUCCUCAAAACCGUUCUCAGUUCGGAUCGCAGGCUGCAAUUCGUCUGCGUGAAGUCGGAAUCGCUAGUAAUCGCGGAUCAGCCACGCCGCGGUGAAUACGUUCUCGGGCCUUGUACACACCGCCCGUCACAUCACGAAAGCUGGUCGUACCCGAAGUCGCUGUGCUAACCGCAAGGAGGCAGGUGCCGAAGGUAUGGUCGGUGAUUGGGGUGAAGUCGUAACAAGGUAGCCGUACGGGAACGUGCGGCUGGAUCACCUCCUUUCAAAGGA